GCGAGCGUAGUUCAAUGGUAGAACAAUGGCCUUCCAAGCCAUAUAUGUGGGUUCGAUUCCCAUCGCUCGCU
rnacentral:tRNA from 1 species